UAUCUUCUGUGUUGACAUCUCAUAACCGACCUAUAUCGGAGAGACUAGAGAGAAGGUUAGAAAGACAGAGAGAGAUCGACGCGUUUGUCAGAAGUUCCGCCGCUCCGGCGACUGCAACCCUAAGCUGCUUCAACUUUACCUCCGAUCAACCAACGAUGGUGAAGCUUUGCGAACGGAGGCUACAGAGGAAAACGAACAGAGCCGCCUUGUGAGUUGGGUAAAUUUUUUGCAAUCAAUCAACCGAUACGAGGUAUUCUUCUUACUUGAAACCCUAAUCUUUUCGGUUCGUUUUUGUGUUUGCACCCGUAGGAUAGGUUAGGGUUUUCCCAAUAAUCGGAUUGAAGCGUGGUGUUGUGGUUGAUUGAUUAGUUUUACGAUUACAGGUGUGUUCACAACUUUGAUGAUGAAGCCAAUGCAAUAACUGUUUCAGUCAAAUUAAAGCUUACGAUUUGUGAAUAUGACGGAGUUAAUUUGAAUUUUGAGCAGUGCAGGUUACAAGCUAAGCGGUUGUGCUGAAUUCUGGCCGCAAACAAUUUUAGAGGUGGUUUCAAGUCCAUAUGUGUUGUGUAAUUAUAGACGUGGUGAUGUUUGUGCUCAGUUUCGGUAGAACAAGCGACUUUUAUAAAGGCAUAGAAGUUUUACGGUUACACCUAACUCAUGUCCUGACAUUCAGGAAUGGAUCUUCAGGUAGAUGUACUUUUAAUCAAUGUUGGCUGUGAAGAACCAAGUUUGUUGGUUUUGGUCUCUCAUGUAUUGGUACAUGGUAAUGUUGAAGACAAGAGUGGGACUGAUGAUGUGAACUACAUAGUUGUUAGCCAAGAACAUGUGAUGGAUGGCAUUGCCAGUUUAAUGGCCAGAUGUAUUAUGUUAAACCCAAAAGCAAAGGUAUAAGGUAUCCAAACAAGUUAGAUACAAGAUCACAUUCGUAUAUUUAAACGAUCUUUUAAAUGGGUUGAAAUACUCUUCUCUAA